UAAAAAAUGGCUAACUUACAUUAUUAGAAGUAACACGUAGGUACUCUUAAGAUAGUAGUACCCUUAAAAUUUUGCACAUCGUCCGCAAAAAUUCUGUAUAUAUAAGAAUAAAAUAUAAUUUAUUAACAUUUAUUUUCAUUAAGAUACAAUAAAAUCUUAUAUUAAAAUGAAAGCACAUAGGUCUUCUGUUUUUUAUGGGACACUAGGAGAAGUUUUCGCUGUAAGUACAUACUGAACGUAGUUCUAGACGCUGUUCCAGAUGACCUUUCUUUGAAAUUCCUUAGAUGUUUUUAGAAGUGGCUAAAACUCUAAUCGCUUUGAAGAGAUAGGCUCUCAUCCCAUUCGCAUUAUCAACGGUCGAAAAUGCGAUAGCCCUCUUCUUUGGUACCUGGGUUUCUGCCAACAUCGAUCCUUCGACGAUAAAUUGCGUCUCUUUUCAUCGCGAGCCGGAAAAUAGGAAUAAUCCCAAAAAUACCCAUAACAGCAUAUUCAGAUAAGUCCGACGGCACUGUGGUGCCACAGGUAGACACGACUCGUAAGGCACCUCAACUUUGGACUCGGGAAAGCCCCUCUCAGUAGACGCGUUCUAGAGUGUACACGUCCUAACUUCAGCAAGCGGCGUUUGAAGCCAUUGGUUCCCAGAUCAACAGGCCAGAUGCAACAUCCAAUAGGCUGUUGAGCGAUUUAACGCGCCUACUUAGGGAAUUUGCAAAUGUUAGCCCCUUCCCAGAGCAUUUUGUGAAGAGGAACGAUUACGCCGCAUAGGGUAUUUUAGCUCGCCUGCUCUUAAUAUUGAAGAGCAAGCAGCCGACAAAGUUUUAGAGAAACUUCUUCGUGUGAUACUGACGUAUCUGCAGGUGGCCUGUCUCCACAACAGCAUGGUUUCAGAUACGCACAUUGUAAUAUAGACGCUAUCCUGGUGGUCUUUAGGGUAGGGCAGAAGGCGGAAGAUCACAACCAUUGGUCACGCCGCGAAUCCUCGUAACAUUGGACUUUUUCUCUAAUUCGAUCAAGUAGAGCGACAGGGUAACGAAUAACGAACGACCUCUCAGAUCUUCGGUCGAGAUUCAAAUAGGUUUCAUCCUUGGACAAUUUAAUCAAAGACGUUUGGACAACGAUUAGCACCUUAUUGCCAAUGCAUUUCACUAAAAUUCACUAUACCAGGCCACUUCGAAUAGUAUUGUGACACAAACAAAAACAAUGGAAAACCACACUUGAGACUCGAAAUCAUGAUGGAAAAUCCUCUCGAAAAUCACUGAAAUCUGUUUUAUUAAUCAAGAGGCAAUUACACCAACACUCAGUGGUAACCAAUGUUGAAUUCCACGAUGAAGGUUAACUGCUAAGCAAACGGGAGUGUCUCAAGUAAUGGGUCCGUCUGUAAGCUAUCAGCAUACGAAAUACGGGAGCGGAAAUAAAUAAUUGAAUUAAGUGUCAAUAAUCUUAAAUAAAUACGACUAAGUUUUUUAAUUCAAAUGUAUAUGAAUCUUUAAUCAAUAAAUACUCUUGAAUAAGCCGA